rnacentral:lncRNA from 1 species
CUGAAUGUAUGGCCUCUCAGUUUUUGUUUAGUUUCUGCACCAUUUCCUAAUAGGUGGAGCAUUGGCACUUUGGUGCACAGUGGAGUUGCCUGUGAAAUGUCCCGAUAUCCAUGGCUUCCUUGCUCUCUUUUGCCAUUUUUGUCCAGGUGGAUGGAGGGUGAUGUUAAUCAUGACUGUGAGAAGAAGUGGUGGCUGGUGGGGACAGAAACUCCAUUGACAUAUUCUGGAAUAUUCCCUCAAGCUCAGAGACUACUUUUUUCUGGAAGGGGCCCUGAAAGGCUUUCAUGGUGUCUCUUCAUGGCACCACCUGCCUUCUAGUGCAUCAUUGGGCUCCUUUGGACAGAAAACUACCUGGUUAUUAAGUCAGAUCUCCUUUUUAGUCCUGAACUGGUGAUUUUGUGCUUUGGGAGAUAAAUCCUCACAGCCAGCUGCCUGGGUUUAAGAGGGAGAGGGAGCAGGUGGGGGAGGCAGGAGAGGAUCCCCUGAUCCCCCCCUCCUCAUUCUUUUCCCCUUCCUCAGCAGAGGCUGCCAAUCAGGAGGAAUACCACAGGGGAAUUUUUUCCACUAGAACAACUGUGUCCCUGGGGCACAAAGCCCAGUAUCAC